UACGGAGGGUGCAAGCGUUAUCCGGAUUCACUGGGUUUAAAGGGUGCGUAGGUGGGUCUGUAAGUCAGUGGUGAAAUCUCCGGGCUUAACUCGGAAACUGCCAUUGAUACUAUAGGUCUUGAAUUAUCUGGAGGUGAGCGGAAUAUGUCAUGUAGCGGUGAAAUGCUUAGAUAUGACAUAGAACACCAAUUGCGAAGGCAGCUCACUACGGAUAUAUUGACACUGAGGCACGAAAGCGUGGGGAUCAAACAGG
rnacentral:rRNA from 1 species